UUUGUGUAAACAAGUGUAAGAAGAAUGAUUGUUAAAUGCGAAGGAUUCUAGUGAUUGGAUUAUGGAGUGAUUGUAUGUUAUCUUUUAAGAUAGUAUAGUAUUACAUAUUGUUAUUAUAAAUUAAGAGAAGAAAAGAUAUAGUGAAUGUGAAGAUGGAAUUAUUGAUUAUAAUAUUUGAUAGAAUGCGAAGGACAAUAUAGCAUUCUUGGAUGUUUUUAGUU
rnacentral:lncRNA from 1 species